GAUGAACGCUAGCGACAGGCUUAACACAUGCAAGUCGGAGGGGCAGCACAGGUAGCAAGUACCGGGUGGCGACCGGCGCACGGGUGAGUAACGCGUAUGCAACUUACCUAUCAGGAGGGGGACUAACCCGGCGAAAGUCGGACUAAUACCGCAUGAAGCGACGGGGUCCCGCAGUGGGGAUUAUUUGCUAAAGAUUCAUCGCUGAUAGAUAGGCAUGCGUUCCAUUAGGCAGUUGGC
rnacentral:rRNA from 1 species